CCUACGGGUGGCUGCAGUGGGGAAUAUUGGACAAUGGGGGCAACCCUGAUCCAGCCAUGCCGCGUGUGUGAAGAAGGCCCUCGGGUUGUAAAGCACUUUCAGUGAGGAAGAACGCCUGGUGGUUAAUACCCAUCAGGAAAAACAUCACUCACAGAAGAAGCACCGGCUAACUCCGUGCCAGCAGCCGCGGUAAUACGGAGGGUGCGAGCGUUAAUCGGAAUUACUGGGCGUAAAGCGCGCGUAGGUGGCUUGAUAAGCCGGUUGUGAAAGCCCCGGGCUCAACCUGGGAACGGCAUCCGGAACUGUCAAGCUAGAGUGCAGGAGAGGAAGGUAGAAUUCCCGGUGUAGCGGUGAAAUGCGUAGAGAUCGGGAGGAAUACCAGUGGCGAAGGCGGCCUUCUGGACUGACACUGACACUGAGGUGCGAAAGCGUGGGUAGCAAACAGGAUUAGAUACCCCUGUAGUC
rnacentral:rRNA from 1 species